rnacentral:tRNA from 1 species
AUUUUAUAAAACAUAAAAAAAUUAUAUCUUAUAAAAUAUAAGUAAAAUUUAUAAUAACAUA